rnacentral:rRNA from 1 species
GCUUACGGCCAUACCACCCUGAGCGCGCCCGAUCUCGUCUGAUCUCGGAAGCUAAGCAGGUUUGGGCCUGGUUAGUACUUGGAUGGGAGACCGCCUGGGAAUACCAGGUGCUGUAAGCUUUA